UACGGAGGGUGCAAGCGUUGUCCGGAUUUAUUGGGUUAAAGGGUGCGUAGGUAUGUUGAUACGGUCGGGUGAAAGCCCACAGCUCAACUGUGGAACUGCCCUGGAUACUGUCAGACUUGAGGGUAGACGAGGUUGGCGGAAUAGAAGGUGUAGCGGUGAAAUGCAUAGAUACCUUCUAGAACCCCGAUUGCGUAGGCAGCUGACUAGGCUACACCUGACACUGAGGCACGAAAGCGUGGGGAGCGAACAGG
rnacentral:rRNA from 1 species